UACGUAGGGUCAGCAGCGUUCGAUCGAAUUGUGGCGUAAAGAGCUCGUAGGCGGCUUGUCACGUCGACUGUGAAAACCCGGGGCUCAACUCCGGGCCUGCAGUCGAUACGGGCUGGCUUGAGUGCGGUAGGGGAGACUGGAAUUCCUGGUGUAGCGGUGAAAUGCGCAGAUAUCAGGAGGAACACCGAUGGCGAAGGCAGGUCUCUGGGCCACUACUGACGCUGAGAAGCGAAAGCAUGGGGAGCAACAGG
rnacentral:rRNA from 1 species